UACGAAGGGGGCUAGCGUUGCUCGGAAUCACUGGGCGUAAAGCGCACGUAGGCGGAUUGCUAAGUCAGGGGUGAAAUCCUGGAGCUCAACUCCAGAACUGCCUUUGAUACUGGCGAUCUCGAGUCCGGGAGAGGUGAGUGGAACUGCAAGUGUAGAGGUGAAAUUCGUAGAUAUUCGCAAGAACACCAGUGGCGAAGGCGGCUCACUGGCCCGGUACUGACGCUGAGGUGCGAAAGCGUGGGGAGCAAACAGG
rnacentral:rRNA from 1 species